GGGGGUGUUACAGAUUCGAUUGGGCGUUAUCGAUAAGACGUAAGCAUACCGAAGGCUCGGCUUCGUAAAAACGGAAAAUUAAAUUUAAAUGCUAACAAUAAUCAAGAAUUAGCAUACGCUGCUUAAUUAAGCGUACGUUCCGCCUUUCUUUUCCCGUCGGGAAAGGACGGAGCGUCAAUCAGACGGGGUACGGCAAUAAAGAUUCGGUUUCGGCUUUGUUGCGGAAUUUUGAAACCGUGAUUCGGAUAAAGCCUUUCGUCGGGCGUGUCCGUUUCGGGAUUAAACGGCGAAUAAGUAUGUAGAAGGUUUUACAGAAGCGUUCAAGACCGGGGUGCAAGUCCCCGCAUCUCCACCA
rnacentral:tmRNA from 1 species